UACGUAGGUGGCAAGCGUUGUCCGGAAUUACUGGGCGUAAAGCGCGUGUAGGCGGCAGGCCAAGUCUGCGGUGAAAGCGCCCGGCUCAACUGGGCGAGGUCCGUGGAAACUGGUCAGCUGGAGGACGGUAGAGGCGAGUGGAAUUCCCGGUGUAGUGGUGAAAUGCGUAGAGAUCGGGAGGAACACCUGUGGCGAAGGCGGCCCCCUGGGCCGGCCCUGACACUGAGACGCGAAGGCGUGGGGAGCGAACGGG
rnacentral:rRNA from 1 species